AUCGCUUCUUGGCCUUUUGGCUAAGAUCAAGUGUAGUAUCUGUUCUUAUCAGUUGCCAGAGGAGGUGCUGUGCUGCUCCAAUUGGGGAGGGCUAUGCAAAUCCUUUGGCUUGAUGGUAUCUGGAUGGUCUGUUUCAGCAGGGUUCGAAACCUCAAGUUUCUUGGAAUUUUAAGAGGCUAGUGCUC